AUGGCAACAGUAGCAGCACCGGCGGCCGGCGGCAGCGGAGGAGCGACGACGGCGUCAGGGGAGUACUGGAGCGAGGCGCUUAAGUCGUUCCUCGACCACAUCCCCGUCUCCUCUCUCUCCGGCGCGCUCCGGCCCUCUCCCUCCCCAGCGUUGGAGCUCAACCUUGAUGCCUGCGUGCUGGACGCCAUCGGUUCCAUGCGCCGCGCCAAUGCGAGCGGAUCCGUGAUCGUCGACGAGGUCCACCGUAGCCUUAGCAAGUUCGUCGACCGUGACAUAGGAUACGUUGAUUUCCCCAGCCUCGUCUUAUGGGCACUCGAGGAACUUGACAGGGUGAGCAUUGAACGACAAGACAAGAGUUCCGACUUCCUCUCAAGUCUGAAACUGCAUCCUCAGAUUGCAGAAACCAAGAUUUCAUGGUUAGCGAAGCUGUUCCUAUGGGAGCCAUUCUUCCCCGUUCGGUCCCAUGAUACGCUCUUCCAUGCAAUGCUGCUCUUCUCCAAACACCACAGGCUCAAUGUGAUACCUGCUGUUGAGUCGGUCAACUCCAGUGUUGACGGAUUUGUUACUCAGAAUGCAGUCAUGGAGCUGCUUCUCCAGUCAAGUGGUCUUGAAUGGCUCGAUAAAAUCGCAGAUAAACAGCUAUCUGAAUUUAGAUUUGCCAAUGCCAGCAAGCCUGUUCUUGUGUACUCGGAUGAGACUCUGGCCUAUACAUUUCGUGUUCUUUCGAAGGAGAAGACAGGAGUUGCAGUUAUCGACCGAAAAACUCGGCGUUUGAUUGGAAUGAUUCAGUGCAGCGAUGUUUACCUGCUGUUGGACGAUAGCUCCUUGUUCAGCAACAGAAAGAUCAUGAGUGCUGAGGAAUUCAUCUUGCUGAAGAACAAGGAUGAAAAAUCCAGAACGGGGCAUUCAUCAGAAUCUGAUAGCAUCCCCAGCCUCAGAAGCAGAGUGCAACAACCUGUUGUAACGAACCGGAGGUCCGACACCCUGAAGCAAGCAAUGGAGAAUCUAGCAGCCUCGGGAAGCAGCUGCAGCUUCAUCGUGGACGAGCAGGGGCACGUGGAAGGAAUCGUGACGCCACGAGACGUCAUCUCUGUCUUCUCCCCGCCGUGCAUGGACUCGAGGAUCGAUGGGGGCACCUUCUUCUCGGCCGCGCUUGAGCAGGCCGGCUGCCGCGUUGAGAAUGGACAAAUGAUUAGGAACUCCUAG
rnacentral:rRNA from 1 species